CCUUUGCCGGCGACCGGCGCACGGUGAGUAACACGUAUCCAACCUGCCGAUGACUCGGGGAUAGCCUUUCGAAAGAAAGAUUAAUACCCGAUGGCAUAGUUCUUCCGCAUGGUAGAACUAUUAAAGAAUUUCGGUCAUCGAUGGGGAUGCGUUCCAUUAGGUUGUUGGCGGGGUAACGGCCCACCAAGCCUUCGAUGGAUAGGGGUUCUGAGAGGAAGGUCCCCCACAUUGGAACUGAGACACGGUCCAA
rnacentral:rRNA from 1 species